rnacentral:rRNA from 1 species
GACGAACGCUGGCGGCGUGCUUAACACAUGCAAGUCGAACGGAAAGACCCUGCUUUUGUGGGGUGCUCGAGUGGCGAACGGGUGAGUAACACGUGAGUAACCUGCCCUUGACUUUGGGAUAACUUCAGGAAACUGGGGCUAAUACCGGAUAGGAGCUCCUGCUGCAUGGUGGGGUUGGAAAGUUUCGGCGGUUGGGGAUGGACUCGCGGCUUAUCAGCUUGUUGGUGGGGUAGCGGCUUACCAAGGCUUUGACGGGUAGCCGGCCUGAGAGGGUGACCGGCCACAUUGGGACUGAGAUACGGCCCAGACUCCUACGGGAGGCAGCAGUGGGGAAUAUUGCACAAUGGGCGGAAGCCUGAUGCAGCAACGCCGCGUGCGGGAUGACGGCCUUCGGGUUGUAAACCGCUUUCGCCUGUGACGAAGCGUGAGUGACGGUAAUGGGUAAAGAAGCACCGGCUAACUACGUG